GGUGAGAUGGCUCAGUGGAUAAGAGCUCUGAUUGCUCUUCAAAGGUCCUGAGUUCAAAUCCCAGCAACCA
rnacentral:tRNA from 1 species